rnacentral:ncRNA from 1 species
AUGGUGGAUUCUGAAAAACCAUAUAUUGAAAAGAGUAGGAG